rnacentral:rRNA from 1 species
AGACGUCUACAUUAGAUACCCGCGUAGUCCCAGCCGUAAACGAUGCGCGUUAGGUGUAUCGGUGACCACGAGUUACCGAGGUGCCGAAGGGAAACCGUGAAACGCGCCGCCUGGGAAGCACGGUCGCAAGGCUGAAACUUAAAGGAAUUGGCGGGGAGCACCACAACGGGUGGAGCCUGCGGUUUAAUUGGACUCAACGCCGGGAAGCUCACCGGAUAAGACAGCGGAAUGAUUGCCGGGCUGAAGACUCUGCAUGACUAGCUG